UACGGGGGGUGCGAGCGUUGUCCGGAAUCACUGGGCGUAAAGGGCGCGUAGGCGGUCUCUUAAGCGUGUGGUGAAAGCCCGGGGCUCAACUCCGGGUCGGCCGUGCGAACUGGGGGACUGGAGCUUGUCAGAGGCAGGCGGAAUUCCGGGUGUAGCGGUGGAAUGCGUAGAGAUCCGGAAGAACACCGGUGGCGAAGGCGGCCUGCUGGGACAGUGCUGACGCUGAGGCGCGACAGCGUGGGGAGCAAACAGG
rnacentral:rRNA from 1 species